rnacentral:rRNA from 1 species
UACAGAGGGUGCGAGCGUUAAUCGGAAUUACUGGGCGUAAAGCGCACGUAGGCGGCUUUGCAAGUCAGGUGUGAAAGUCCAGGGCUCAACCCUGGAAUGCCGGUGGAUACUGUCGGGCUAGAGUGCGGAAGAGGCGAGUGGAAUUCCUGGUGUAGCGGUGAAAUGCGCAGAUAUCAGGAGGAACACCUAUUGCGAAGGCAGCUCGCUGGGACGUAACUGACGCUGAGACGCGAAAGCGUGGGGAGCAAACAGG